rnacentral:antisense_RNA from 1 species
AAGCGGUUGCUGAUGAACUCGCAGAUGCCGCUCAGGGUCAGCUUCUUCUGCGGGCUCUGCAGGAUGGCCAUGGUGAUGAGCGCGAUGUACGAGUGUGGACAAAUCCUCCAAGAUUUAACUUCCAAGGAAACCGGCGGCGGAGCGGGUGGAGGAGGCGAGGAUGUGUGGCCAGUGCACGCGGAGUGCAAGGCCGCCUAGUUGGGAGCCGCAAGAGCCUGCCUGGUGUGGCAGGCACACGGAACCCAAUCCCUGUCUGUCUGCUGCGGCCUGGGAGGGGAGCGCCGGCCUCACCAGAGGAAGGAGCACGAGGGGAGGAGUUCCUAGAGGAAAUAAUUAGUGAAAUAUUUGCGGAAGAUGCUGGGAUGUGGAUUUAAUUCCACAUGGACAGUGGUGCUUCUGAUUCCCUCAGUCUGUUUCCCUUGGCCUAGACACAUCAAAAAUAAUUCAUUAAAAUAAAAAUAAAAAUUUAAAAACC